rnacentral:lncRNA from 1 species
AGAAAUAACCGCAGCAAUAAUGUCAUCUCCUUCAACUAAAUUCACUUUUGGUUUAGGAGGAUUGUCAUUUAUCACUCUUUUCCUGUACUGGGGUGCAUCAUGACCCGGCUUACCACAUACAAGACAAUAUCCUUUCCUUUUAAAGAUGGGAUUAUUAAACUUGAGUUUGUAAUCAGAUUUCUUAUUUUCAUACCUGUUAUUUGAUUUGUGCACUUUUUCUUUGUACAAGAUUUGCUCUUGUAGCCAACAUCCUCAGCAGUAUAUUUCAAGUUCAUUGAAUCUCAUAAUUUUUUUAAUUGAAUCCCAUAUUUCAUUGAAUCUCAUAUUUCCUUGGCUUCCUUGUAGGAACAGUAGUUAUCAAAGAAAUUGUUAAAAAGAGUACUGAUAAUUGUAUGCCUACAUACCUU